ACCUGAGCAAUGUGUGGAGGGUGGAGGCACAGAAGUCACUGGCUGCUCUCUUGCAUAGACUUCCCAUCUCCUGUUUCGGAGUUGCUACUUUUUCUUCUCUGGGUCUGGAUACUAAUCAUUCUGGUCAAUCCAGGAAGCAUAAGAAGCGCAAAAAAGUAACCUGUUGGAAAAGCCAAAGCAUUCAACGCUGGUAGCAGAAACAACCUUGCAUGUAGAAAUAUAUGAAAACGGAAAUACAAAAUGAAUACAAAUAAAACCAGGGAGAGGAUUGACCAGUGGGGAAGAACAAGUGGAAACCAGCAGCACCACUGACUGUUCUGGUUUCACUUCUCAAACCAGGCAUCCAACCUACCUGUGCGUUCUUCUGGCCGUGAACUACAACUCCCAGAAUGCAUUGCAAGCCUUAACAAACAUAAAUGACAAACAACUGGCUCCUUUUAACCAGUGCAAAGGGUGGAGGAUGGAAGCAUGUAAGUCUUUGCCUGUGCUUUUGUAUAGGUUCCCCAUCUCCAGUCUUGGAUGUGCUGCUUUUCCUUCCCUGAGGCUGGAUCCUGGUGGUUCUGUCUUCCUGUUUCCAGUGGGAAUUUGUAUGAAGAGCCUCAACACAGCAGACUGGACCCCUGUCAUUUAUCCUGGGGCUGACUGUAGUCAGCAGCUUCAUUUUUGAGGGGACCAAUGGAGGACCAAAACCCCACAGGCCCCCCAAUAGGGGAAAGGUCAGUAGAAACAGGUGAUGGCCCUCAUGACGUUCAGGGGACUUCACUCUGCAAUGAUCCUGAAGCACUCUUGGCUACUUCCAAGCAAGAGCCCAGAGCCCAGCCAUCAACAAAAGAGAAGGUUUUGAGGUACCUUACUAGGCUUCUCGGAACAGAGAGAAGAUAUAGAUGCUCAGUGUGUGACAAAACCUUCAGGAGGUGCCCACAGCUUACUAGACAUCUAAGAACCCACACAGAAGAGACACUCUAUAGGUGUUCUGUGUGUGGAAAGGCCUUCAGACGGCAUCUAAAGCUUACUAUACACAAAAGAACCCAUAAAGGAGUGAAACCAUAUAAAUGCUUGGAGUGUGGAAGGAGAUUUCCUCAUAUCGAAAACCUUAUUGCCCAUUCAGAAACCCACACAGGGGAGAAGCCAUAUACAUGUUCGCAGUGUGGAAAAUGCUUUGCUCAGCAAACUGAUCUUACUAGACAUCAAAGAACCCACACAGGGGAGAAACCAUAUUCAUGCGCACAGUGUGGAAAAGAUUUUGCGUAUAAAAUUGAUCUUACUAGACAUCAAAGAAUCCACACCGGAGAAAAGCCCUACACAUGUUUGCAGUGUGGAAAAAGCUUUGCUCAGAAAACAAAUCUUAUUAUACAUGAACGAACCCACACAGGGGAAAAACCAUAUUCAUGCUCACAGUGUCAAAAAAGCUUUGCUCAUAAAACUGAUCUUACUAGACAUGAAAGAACUCACACAGGAGAAAAGCCCUACACAUGCUCACACUGUGGGAAAAGCUUUGCUCUGAAACAACAUCUUACUGGACAUCAAAUGACCCAUGAAAUGAAGAAACCUUAGAAAGGCUUGGAGGGUGGAGAAAGUUUCUGUCCUUAAUCAAUCCACCAUGCACAUAAACUAAACCUUAGAAGAGAGAUGUUUUUACAGACACUUUUAUUCUGGCAGGAGCCUUUAUGAUGAGGGCUCCUUAAUGAAGAAAUUACAAUACACACAGAAGAGGAAACGUAACUAUUUGGAGUGUGGAAAGAGUGUCAGUCACAACACAUACUGCUUUUCGCUUCAAGAAAUCCACACAGGCAAAAUUGCAACCUGUUUGUCCCAAACUAAUUAUGUCCUUUGAGUGUUCUUCAUUUCCGAGCCCUGUGAUUCAGCAUUUUUAAGUGGCUUCUCAAUGAUGAGCUCCCUGGUGGUUUUAGUUGUGUAUUUUAUUGUGCUGGGUUCAAUGUUUUUAAGUGCUUUGAUUAAGAAGGGGGAGAAAUGUGAUCUGAAGCUUUUCCCAUUGAUGGAGUAAUUGCAGCGAUCAUCUUCUGAGGCAUCCGAGCAUUCAGCUGCAGUGGAACAGAAAAUGGCUGCUUUUUCUUCUCUGGGGUUGGAUCCUGAUGAGCCCGUCUUCCUUAAUUCUGUGGGAAUUUGCUGAUCUUGGAACUCCAAGUAACCUGUACAGGCUUCUUGAAGCAUCUCGGCAAAUAUGAGGCUCGGAGUCAUUUGAUGAAGAGCCUCAACACAGCAGUCUGGACCACUGUCAUUUAUCCUGGGGCUGACUGUAGUCUGCAGCUUGGUUUUUGAGGGGACCAAUGGAGGACCAAAACCCCACAGGCCCCCCAAGAGGGGAAAGGUCAGAAGAAACAGGUGAUGGCCCUCAUAACGUUCAGGGGACUGCACUCUGCAAUGAUCCUGAAGCACUCUUGGCUACUUCUAAGCAAGACCCCAGAGCCCAGCCAUCAACAAAAGAGAGGGUUUUGAGGUGCCUUACUAGGCUUCUCGGAACAGAGAGAAGAUAUAGAUGUUCAGUGUGUGACAAAACCUUUAGGAGGUGCCCACAUCUUAUUAUUCACAAAAGAACCCAUAAAGGAGUGGAACCAUAUAAAUGCUU